UUAAUUGAAGAGUUUGAUCAUGGCUCAGAUUGAACGCUGGCGGCAGGCCUAACACAUGCAAGUCGAGCGGCAGCACAGAGAAACUUGUUUCUCGGGUGGCGAGCGGCGGACGGGUGAGUAAUGCCUGGGAAAUUGCCCUGAUGUGGGGGAUAACCAUUGGAAACGAUGGCUAAUACCGCAUGAUAGCUUCGGCUCAAAGAGGGGGACCUUCGGGCCUCUCGCGUCAGGAUAUGCCCAGGUGGGAUUAGCUAGUUGGUGAGGUAAGGGCUCACCAAGGCGACGAUCCCUAGCUGGUCUGAGAGGAUGAUCAGCCACACUGGAACUGAGACACGGUCCAGACUCCUACGGGAGGCAGCAGUGGGGAAUAUUGCACAAUGGGCGCAAGCCUGAUGCAGCCAUGCCGCGUGUGUGAAGAAGGCCUUCGGGUUGUAAAGCACUUUCAGUCGUGAGGAAGGUGGUAGUGUUAAUAGCACUAUCAUUUGACGUUAGCGACAGAAGAAGCACCGGCUAACUCCGUG
rnacentral:rRNA from 1 species